rnacentral:rRNA from 1 species
AGAUUAAGUUAUUAAGGGCGCACGGUGGAUGCCUUGGCACUAGAAGCCGAUGAAGGACGUUACUAACGACGAUAUGCUUUGGGGAGCUGUAAGUAAGCUGUGAUCCAGAGAUUUCCGAAUGGGGGAACCCAGCACAAGUUAUGUUGUGUUAUCGACAUGUGAAUUCAUAGCAUGUCAGAAGGCAGACCCGGAGAACUGAAACAUCUUAGUACCCGGAGGAAGAGAAAGAAAAAUCGAUUCCCUGAGUAGCGGCGAGCGAAACGGGAAGAGCCCAAACCAAUAGGCUUGCCUAUUGGGGUUGUAGGACACUCUAUACGGAGUUACAAAGGAAAAUGUUAGACGAAUCAUCUGGAAAGAUGAAUCAAAGAAGGUAAUAAUCCUGUAGUCGAAAAUGUUUUCUCUCUUGAGUGGAUCCUGAGUACGACGGAGCACGUGAAAUUCCGUCGGAAUCUAGGAGGACCAUCUCCUAAGGCUAAAUACUCUCUAGUGACCGAUAGUGAACCAGUACCGUGAGGGAAAGGUGAAAAGUACCCCGGAAGGGGAGUGAAAGAGAACUUGAAACCGUGUGCUUACAAAUAGUCAGAGCCCGUUAAUGGGUGAUGGCGUGCCUUUUGUAGAAUGAACCGGCGAGUUACGAUCUGAUGCAAGGUUAAGCUGCAAAUGUGGAGCCGUAGCGAAAGCGAGUCUGAAUAGGGCGAGAUAGUAUUUGGUCGUAGACCCGAAACCAGGUGAUCUACCCAUGGCCAGGCUGAAGUUCAGGUAACACUGAAUGGAGGGCCGAACCGACUUACGUUGAAAAGUGAGCGGAUGAGCUGUGGGUAGCGGAGAAAUUCCAAUCGAACUUGGAGAUAGCUGGUUCUCUCCGAAAUAGCUUUAGGGCUAGCCUCAAGUGAUGAUUAUUGGAGGUAGAGCACUGUUUGGACGAGGGGCCCCUCUCGGGUUACCGAAUUCAGACAAACUCCGAAUGCCAAAUAAUUUAACUUGGGAGUCAGAACGUGGGUGAUAAGGUCCAUGUUCGAAAGGGAAAGAGCCCAGACCACCAGCUAAGGUCCCAAAAUAUAUGUUAAGUGGAAAAGGAUGUGGCGUUGCCCAGACAACUAGGAUGUUGGCUUAGAAGCAGCCAUCAUUUAAAGAGUGCGUAAUAGCUCACUAGUCGAGUGACACUGCGCCGAAAAUGUACCGGGGCUAAACAUAUUACCGAAGCUGUGGAUUGUCCUUCGGACAAUGGUAGGAGAGCGUUCUAAGGGCGGUGAAGCAUGAUCGCAAGGACAUGUGGAGCGCUUAGAAGUGAGAAUGCCGGUGUGAGUAGCGAAAGACGGGUGAGAAUCCCGUCCACCGAUUGACUAAGGUUUCCAGAGGAAGGCUCGUCCGCUCUGGGUUAGUCGGGUCCUAAGCUGAGGCCGACAGGCGUAGGCGAUGGAUAACAGGUUGAUAUUCCUGUACCACCUAUUAUCGUUUUAAGCGAUGGGGGGACGCAGUAGGAUAGGCGAAGCGU